UGGUUUUUGCCUCCUUGUAGUCUUCAUCAUCGUUGAAACAGGUUUAACCAGUAAUGCUAAGAGAAGAUAAAACCCUACUUUGAAGCUUCAAGCAUCAGACAGGAACUAGAAGGUGGUUGGAGAGUGACUUCCAAGGCUGUACAACCCCAGGACUCCAGGAUAUAAACGGGUGGAUCCACACAGCAACUAUGAAGCAACUGAAGAAUUUAAGACGUGGGAACAAAGACUGUGAAGGACUGUGAAAGUACUCAAAGGAGAAAGGCAUUGGAGUUUCUGAAGAUCAUACAUGAAGAAGGACCUUCUGAAGAGAAACGGAAGAAAAACCAGAACACUACAGAAUGUGCAAAACAUUUCAUAUGUCUCACUUUUUGCCUGGGCAGGCAUGGACAGAGAUCCUGCUUAUAUACACUUUCUGUUUCCUGUGGAGCUCUGGUGACAGGUGCCUGCCACC